rnacentral:rRNA from 1 species
AGUGAACGCUGGCGGUAGGCCUAACACAUGCAAGUCGAACGGCAGCACAGUAAGAGCUUGCUCUUACUGGUGGCGAGUGGCGGACGGGUGAGGAAUACAUCUGAAUCUACUUUUUCGUGGGGGAUAACGUAGGGAAACUUACGCUAAUACCGCAUACGACCUACGGGUGAAAGCAGGGGAUCUUCGGACCUUGCGCGAUUGAAUGAGCCGAUGUCGGAUUAGCUAGUUGGGGGGGUAAUGGCCCACCAACGCGACGAUCCGUAGCGGGUCUGAGAGGAUGAGCAGCCACACUGGAACUGAACCACGGUACAGACUCCUACGGGAGGCAGCAGUGGAGAAUAUUGGACAAUGGGCGGAAGCCUGACCCAACCAUACCGCGUGGGGGAAGAAGGCCUUCGGGUUGUGAAGCCCUUUUGUUGGGAAAGAAAAGCAGCAGGUUAAUACCCCGCUGUUCUGACGGUACCCAAAGAAUAAGCACCGGCUAACUUCGUG